AUACGGAGGGUGCGAGCGUUAAUCGGAAUCACUGGGCGUAAAGCGCACGUAGGCUGCUUGGUAAGUCAGGGGUGAAAGCCCGCGGCUCAACCGCGGAAUUGCCUUUGAUACUGCCGAGCUAGAGUCCGGGAGAGGGUAGUGGAAUUCCAGGUGUAGGAGUGAAAUCCGUAGAGAUCUGGAGGAACAUCAGUGGCGAAGGCGCCUACCUGGACCGGUAAGGACGCUGAGGUGCGAAAGCGUGGGGAGCAAACAGGAUUAGAUCCCCUGGUAGUCCACGCCGUAAACGAUGGAUGCUAGGUGUCGGGGCCUUGAGCUUCGGUGCCGUAGUUAACGCGUUAAGCAUCCCGCCUGGGGAGUACGGUCGCAAGGCUGAAACUCAAAUGAAUUGACGGGG
rnacentral:rRNA from 1 species